GCAGGGGAAACGUUCAGUCUGCCUGGGUUAUAUAUAGGUAGAUUCAUUGAUUUCGGAUCAGAAAAUUAUCAAUGUUCAUGGAUUCCCAGAACACAGCAGGGAGAAGUUUAUGUUAUGAACAUUUCUUAGCAACAAACCCUGUAAGAAGAAGGACCUCUGUUCUACAGCUUGUGGUGGAUUAUAGAACACAUGAUAUCAACCAAGUUUAAAGGAAGCAUGUAUAGCCACAUUAGAAAGAUUUAAGGAUUGUGAGAAACCAAAUAUGACAAAUCAGAAUAAAUUCCAUGGGAGUGUGAAAAAAGAGAAUAGUAGAGUGUAAUCCUCAGGACUUUCUUCAGACUUCCAUAAAGUCAGGAAAUACUGUUGAACUGACAAAAUUAACAAAAAUCAUGAUUGUCAAAAAUUCAAGGAAGAUGUGCAAGUUAAGACUAAGACGGAUUUUAGGAGUUUUGAUGACAAAGAAUCAACCUUUGGAAAUAUGGCUUUAAACUUGGAUCUCUUUAUUGAUGCAUGCAUGAUGGUGGGCUGAAGAAGAAAACCAGGACAAAUGAAAAUUCCUAGUGUUCAUCAGAAAAAAUGAUCGAAUCAUGCAGCCAUUUUGAGUGCUUGAAUGCCCAACUGAGAGAGCCAGCCAAUGCGGAAAAUAUUUCUUGGAAGUUACACCAAAUCUGCUGUGACAAUUGAAUUAAAGCUUUAAAAGUACAUUUAAAAACAUACUGCCUUAAAAUUACAUUUGUAUAUGGUGUAAUUAUUUCAAGGAGAUACAACACACCUGGUUUAACAGUAAGGUCCAUAGCUAAACCUGGAUAUGGAAUUUAGCUCACCUGAUUCAAAGGCUCAAUUGCAAAGGUUCAAUCGCAAUUCUGAUAAAAAGAAGUCUUUGGUGUCCAA